GCAGCUCAACCCCGUGCUCCGCAGCCCUGCAGAACCUGCCCCUGGCAUGACGACGCUGAACCUGAACAGCCCUGUGGCUGGCGGAGAACCAGUCGCAGCGAUGCUCAAGUUCCAGACGGAAGAGGACGAGCCACGGGCCAGAAAGUGCUCACCUGCUACCUGCUGCCCCAGCAGCCCCUCGGCCAGCCUCGAAAACCUUCUUUCAGAGCAGCGUGAUGACAGCUGGACAGACGCCAACCUCAAUCGGGUCAGCGUAAUCCAGUUCUUGAGGAACCUCAACGCGGCCGAGGACGAGGAGGGGGCCGAACGGCGGGUGAGGCCCUGGCCCGGCGGCCUGGGAGAGGGGGCGUUUGGGCCGGGGCUCCCGGAGCGGACUGACCCCCACCUCUACCCUUGCCCGGCAGGGCUUGCAAACGCAGAUGCCACCCCUCACCCAGUGAACUGAAGGUCAUUAAGAAAGUGAUCGAGGUGCGGCGCCACGAGGCCUUCCCGCGCCCUCGUCCCCCGCGGACCCGCCGGACUCUCCCGCCGCACAGGGCAAGAGACUCAGUGCCGGCUCCCAGCCGAGCCAGGAUUCCCCAGGGCUCUAGCACCAGCAACCGUCUCUGCGGGUGGCCCCGGGGAGCCCGAGGAGCAGAGGACGCAGGAAGCGGGGCCUCAACGGGAGCCCCACGCCAGCCGACAGCGCACAGCCGGAGGAGGCGAGCCCCGGCGCCCAGCGCGGAGCUGGACGAGGGUGCUGGCCGCCGGAGGAAGAGGAGGAGCAGGAGAUGGAAUACGACGAGCCCACAGUGCACUUUGCCGAGGACACACUGCUGCCCAGCGCCGAACCGGCGGGCGUGGCCGGAGAGCGGGAGCCGCACGAGCAAGAGGGAGGAGGGGGCGGAGCGCUGCUGGAGGCCGGCCAACGCCAGAGGCUCUUCCGCAAGGACACCCCGCACUACAAGAAGCAUUUCCGGAUCACCAAGCUGCCCAGGCCCGAGGCUGUGGCGCCCUGCUGCAGGGGCUGCGCCCCGACGGGACCCCCCAGGAGGGGGCCUUUCCCGUCGCCGGCGGGGGCCUGUGUAGCAACGGCCCCGCCCCCAGGACCAGCCGCCGGCCCCUGGGGCCUGCAGGGGGCCGAGGAGGAGGAGGAGCAAGAAGAGGAGGACCGGGAUGAGGAGGACCGGGAGGAAGAGGAGGAGGAGAUGGAAGAAGAUGACGACGAAGACGAGGGGAGGAACGGGGCUCAGGCUGCCCAGCCACCACCAAGGUAAGGUCCGUUCGGUGGGGUCGGGGUAGUGGGAGCAGGG
rnacentral:lncRNA from 1 species